AACUGCGAGUGAAGCGGGAAAAGCUCAAAUUUAAAAUCUGGUGGUCUUUGGCUACCCGAGUUGUAAUCUAGAGAAGCACCAUCCGCGCUGGACCGUGUAUAAGUCUCCUGGAAUGGAGCGUCAUAGAGGGUGAGAAUCCCGUCUUUGACACGGAUUACCAGGGCUUUGUGAUAUGCUCUCAAAGAGUCGAGUUGUUUGGGAAUGCAGCUCUAAAUGGGUGGUAAGUUCCAUCUAAAGCUAAAUAUUGGCGAGAGACCGAUAGCGAACAAGUACCGUGAGGGAAAGAUGAAAAGAACUUUGGAAAGAGAGUUAAACAGUACGUGAAAUUGUUGAAAGGGAAACGCUUAAAGUCAGUCGCAUUAGCUAGGGAUCAACCUUGCUUCUGCUUGGUGUACUUCCUGGUUGAUGGGUCAGCAUCAAUUUUGACCAAUGGAAAAAGGCCAAGGGAAUGUAGCAUCUUCGGAUGUGUUAUAGCCUUCGGUCACAUACAUUGGUUGGGAUUGAGGAACUCAGCACGCCGCAAGGCCGGGUUUUAACCACGUUCGUGCUUAGGAUGCUGGCAUAAUGGCUUUAAUCGACCCG
rnacentral:rRNA from 1 species